CCCCAAGAUGUUAUUUGCCUGCUGCAGAUAGACCCACACGGGCGAUGGUGAGCGCAGCCUCCCUAGCCCCAAGGAAACGGCCUAGAAGAGAAACGUUUCCAAGAGAAGCUGCACCCAACAAGCGCAGCUCAGGACUGACGUUUAACCUACCAGAGCUCCCGAGGGGACCACGAAGUGCACGUAUGGCCCUUGCUGAAAACAAUAAGUGAAGAAAUGAUUCCAGAAUAACGGUAUGGCUGGGAAGAAACAGGUUCAUUCCUAUAUUCAGGUUCAACCCGCAUUGGCUGAGCACAUACUACGGACCAGACAUGGCUGCUUAUCAUCACGCGCACCUUCACUCCUCUAUCCGACCAAAAGUUCAAGUUGGCAGGUACUAUGCCCAUUUUGUUGGAUGGGCAAGCCAAGACCCUGGAUUUGAGAGCUUUGCCCAAGGUCACGGC
rnacentral:lncRNA from 1 species